GUUAAAUCAAAGCCUUUGCCUAAUUCUGGUGGUACGAUUGCAAUUUCGGAGAUGAGUACCUGACCAUGGACAUACUGCUUGUAUAAAUUCUCUUCAUCAGCUUUCCUUUUAACGCAUCAUCGUCUCUCUGCUUAUCUUUGUCUAAACUAAGUCUCACAGAAAAGUCCAGAAAAUGGCGCAAAAGAGCAAGAUUCUGAUCAUCGGAGGAACUGGGU
rnacentral:misc_RNA from 1 species